UCAGCCUCGUCGAUGUGGUGACCGUAGGUAUGAAUUAGAAUGCAAGAGAAACCGCACCAGUUUUCCCAUGAAAUACGGAAACUUUUAUGUCCUAAACAUCUCUUAUGUUGACCGAACGCUUCGACUUGUGGAUGUGAGUCUGGUCGAUGAAAACUGCUCAAUUCCUCGCAGUUCCAUUGUCUAUUAUCCAUACAGCUAUCAAGAAGACAUAAAUUAUGGAAGACACACCAUGUAUCUGGUAAAUUGCACGACAAGGAUGAAGUCUUCUUCAGUUUAUGUCGAUGCUUCUCGUUGCCCAACCAAUAGCUCUUCUUCUCCUUGGACCUACUUCUACUUUCCAGUCUCGUUUUCAAAUAUAUCCGAUUUCCAUCAUUCGUGUAGAUUUAUAGCCCAGUUUCCUGUCAUGCUUUCCAAUAUUAGUGGCUUAUCCCCUUCUUACAUUUACAAAAACCUGUUGGAAGGCGUCGAGGUGUCCUGGUAUAGACCCUUUAGUUUUUGGCCUUCAAACCCGGUUCUCAAAGUGUAAGAGACUUCGAUCUUUAGAUUCUUUCAAUCUAUAACUUUUCAAGGCCUUAUUUAUUGAUUGGUUGCUUUUUUUUUCCUUGGGGGGGGGGGGGGUUAUUCUAGCUUGCUACAGUUGGUGAUCUAUUCACUACGUCCAAUUUUAGCAUACAUAGUAAGCAAUGUGGCCUUUCUUCUACCGGGAAUCAUCGGCCAUUAUCCUUUUGGGAAAGGUUAAUCUUUCAGAUUUCAUAAGUAUCUUUAUUUAUUGGAUUUGCCCUUGAAUUGUAUUCGAGUUAGUAAUAUUAUUGUUCAAUUUGCGUUUUAAACAGGAGCCACCUUCGUUUGUCUUGCAGUAUCAGGUAAAUCUCUUUCCCUUCCCACUUUUUAUGUUAUCUUUAUAAAAUAAUCAUGAAUGCUGAUUUAUCCAUGUGUAUGCACCUUGAUGGGCAAGCAGGCAUAUUGUUAGCGAGAACUUUGUUGGGGAUAUUCUGCCUCAUUACACUUGUCAUAUGCAAACUAAAGAGGAGGCAUUUGUCGAUGGAUGAUGAUAUCGAAAACUUUCUUCAAAGUCAAAAUAAUUUAAUACCUAUUCGAUAUUCGUAUUCUGAAAUAAAAAGAAUUACGGAAGGUUUUAAAGUUAAAUUAGGUCAAGGUGGUUAUGGUUCUGUGUUUAAAGGAAAGCUUCGCAGUGGUCGGCUAGUGGCAAUAAAAAUGUUAGAUAAAUCCAAAGCAAAUGGAGAAGAUUUCAUCAAUGAAGUUGCUACUAUUGGAAGAAUUCAUCAUAUUAAUGUAGUGCAACUUAUUGGGUUUUGUGUAGAGAGAUCAAAACAAGCUCUUGUAUAUGAUUUUAUGGUGAAUGGGUCUCUGGAUAAAAUUAUAUUUUCAAAGGAGAAUUGCACUUUAAGUUGGCAAAAAUUAUUUGAUGUUGCACUUGGUGUGGCUCGAGGAAUUGAAUACUUGCACCGGGGUUGUCAAAUGCAAAUUUUGCAUUUUGAUAUCAAGCCGCACAACAUUCUUUUGGAUGAAAACUUUAUCCCUAAAGUUUCUGAUUUUGGUCUUGCAAAAUUAUAUUCAGUGGAUGACAGUAUUAUUUCUCUCACAGCGGCUCGUGGUACAUUAGGAUACAUUGCUCCUGAAUUAUUUUACAGAAAUAUUGGAGGCAUCUCAUAUAAAGCCGAUAUUUAUAGUUUUGGAAUGUUAUUAAUGGAAAUGGUGGGAAGAAGAAAGAAUUUGAAUGCAUUUGAUGAUCAUUCUAGUCAAAUUUAUUUUCCGUCAUGGAUUUAUGAUCGAUUUGAACAAAGAGAGAACAUAGAAUUAGGGGAUGUAACAGAAGUUGAUGACAAAAUAGCAAGGAAGAUGAUAAUGGUUGCAUUUUGGUGCAUACAAAUGAAUCCCACUAAUCGUCCUUCAAUGAGCAAAGUUUUGGAAAUGCUCGAAAAUGAACAUGAUCAACUUGAAUUGCCGUCCAGACCUUCACUAUUUUCUCUCGAAAAGUCGACUGAAGAUCAUGUUUGUAAGAAUGUAUCGGAGGAACCAUCAACGUCAAAAAGUUGUGUGGACAUCUAAGUAUAAUGUUUGAUUUUAUUCGGACCUUUUAUACAUAUAGUUCUGCAAGUACUGUAAGCUUUUAAUUUGUAGCAUUUCAUGCUCAGUUGUAUAAUAUCCAGCAUCAUGUAAUACGACUAUUAAUGGAUGUGUGUUUUAGACUUUAGCUCCUUAGCUUCAUGUUUCAAUUAUUAAAAAUGUCUCCUUUUCACCAUAUAAUGAGUUAAUAUCAAAUUCGUUAACAAUUAUUUAGUAUGUAAGUGACUCUUAACAUUGCGUGAUCUCAUGAGAAAGUUUUUACUCUCUUAUCGUAAUAUGUAAUCAUGCUGAUAAAAGUAACUUGUAAUAAUUAUGAGUGUGGUGUGGCGGUUGCUCACUUUAUUUUUUAAUCAUGUAGUCAGGGUUUGAGUUCCGCUCAUAGAAAUGGAAUACCUUCCAACGAUGAAUAUCUUAAUUUUGACAAUUAAACAACAUUUAAGAUAGAAUCUUUUCAUUUAUUAGUAGAAUUUAUAUACUAACAGCCAUGCAGCAUUUCAUUUAUGAGUUCAAAUAAAAUCUUAGCAUUGGUGUAAUAUGAGUGUGCUAAUAGGUGAUUUCAAGUUUCAACUGAUUCUAGUACUACUAACAAUGAGGCUCGAGACUGUUCUUAUUCCAUUUCUGAAAUAGUGGGUAGAUCUCUGUUAACCGGCUUCCUAGGUAUGGUGGCACCCAUCGUCUUCGGUGGAUCUGUUGACACAAAAGGAUUUGGGGGCAUUGUAAGAACGUCAAGCUCUCCCUCUAACAUCUGAACCACCACUUUCAUCGAAGGACGAUCAACGGGAUACCACUGAAUGCACCAAAGUCCAACGAUCAUGAGUUUCUUUUCUAUCCCUGUUUGUGCAUCAUCUUCAAUUCGAAUCCCGAACUCCUCUCCUUUAUCCAAACGAUCAUAUGCCCAUUCUGGGAAAUACACUUGGCUUGUAUUCUCGACCAUAACAUCUAUGUUCUUUCUCCCCCCAACCAUUUCAAGCAACAGCAUUCCAAAACUAUAAACAUCAGACUUAUAUGACACAUUUCUGAAGUUGCGAGACAGUACCUCUGGUGCAAUAUAGCCCAUGGUACCUCUUGUUGGCACAUAAUUAAAUUAACCUUGCACAAAUAAAUUAUGAAAAGUUAGAAGAGUGAAGAGACUUGAAUAUGAAUAGUGAAGAGACUUGAAGAUGAAAAGUUAAGAGUCUUGAAUAUGAAAGGAUACACACAUGCAUGAAUAGUCACAACUCCUAGCAUAUAGUGAUUUAGAUGAAUAGUCACUUACAACUCCUAUAUAAAGAGUUGUAUGUAAUGAAGAAUAAUUAACUUGUGUGCUUGAAAUAAAAGCUUAUUUGAAAGAAUUUUUCCAUACAAAAUUUAUUUCUCUUCUCCAUUAUAUUCUUUAUCAUUUUCUUUGUUUUAUUUCUCCAAAUAUUAAUUAUUCAACUACAAAUUGGUAUCAGAGCCUUGUUCGAUCGAAAUGAACAAUUCUAUUCCUCUUUCUUCCGUUCCCCAAUUAACCAAAGAAAAUUAUGGCAAAUGGAGUAUCCAAAUGAAGGCUCUUCUUGGAUCUCUAGAAGUUUGGGAGAUUGUUGAAAAAGGUUAUAAUGAAGUUGAGGCUGAAGAGGAGGAAGGAUUAUCACAAGUUCAAAAAGAGGGUUUAAGAAAAUCAAGGAAAAAAAAUAAACAAGCCUUAUUUUGGAUAUAUCAAGGAGUUCAAUCAAAUGAAGCAGCAUGGGAAAAAAUAGCUUGUGCCACCACGGCAAAACAAGCAUGGGAGGUUUUACAAAAUUCUUUCAAAGGAGAUGAAAAGGUGAAAAGAGUUCGGUUGCAAACUCUUCGAGGGGAGUUUGAAAGAUUGCAAAAAAUAGAGUCGGAAUCAGUUUUUGAUUACUGUUCACGAGUUUUGUCCAUAGUCAACCAAUUGAAAAGAAAUGGUGAAACUAUGGAUGAUAGUCGUGGUGUUGAAAAAAUCCUCCGUUCUUUGGAUUCUAGAUUUGAUUACAUUGUGGUAGCCAUUGAAGAAUCAAAGGACUUGAGUACCAUGACUAUUGAUGAACUCACAGGUUCGUUGCAAGCCCAUGAAGAAAGAUUAAACAAGAAGAAGAAGGAAGUAGAUCUAGAUCAAGCACUCCAGUCAAAGUUGUCUCUAAAUGAGAAGAAAGGAGAAUUUAAAAAUCAAAGAGGGAGAGAUCGUGGAAGAGGAAGAAAUUUUAGAGGAAGAGGCUCAAAUGCUCGUCAAAGAUAUGAAAAUACAAGCACGGAGAAUGGAUGGAAAGAAGCCAGCCAAAGUCAGAAUUUUAGAGGAUCACAAAGAGUACGUGGACGUGGAAAUCAAAGAGGAAGAGGUCGUGGCUAUUUUGAAUGUUAUCAUUGUCGCAAACCUGGUCAUUUGGCAAGUGAAUGCUGGUACAAGAAAGAAGAGAAAAAUGAAGCUAAUAUAGUACAAAAUAAUCAAGAGCAAAAGCAAGAAACUUUGUUGCUCGUGUCUCAUGGUGGAGAGAUUGAUGAUGUCUGGUACAUAGACAGUGGUGCUAGCAAGGCUAUGACAGGUAACAAAAAUUUAUUUUCGAAGUUCUUUGAAUCUGAUUGUGGAGAAGUAAAAGUAGGAGAUGGCAAUGCUUACAAAGUUAGCGGUGUUGGUGAGUUGGAGUUCAAAACAAAGCAAGGAAGGGUAGAGAAAAUGUCUGAAGUUUAUUUUGUUCCCGGACUUAAAAAUAAUCUGCUUAGUGUUGGGCAUCUUUUAAAGAAGGGGUAUGAUAUUCAUUUUCGUGACAUGGCUUGCUAUUUAUCAAGGAAAAAUCAGGUUGUUGCUAGAGUUGGAGUGGCAUCAAAUAAUCUUUUCUCUCUCACCCUUCAAAAUCAGAAUAUGUCUUGUUUUAUUGGUGCUCAUAAAGGAGUUUCAAAGUUAUGGCAUGAUAGAUAUGGACAUUUGAACUAUGGAAAUUUGGAGAUGCUUUCAAAGAAGAUGAUGGUCAGAGGUUUACCAAAAAUCAAUCGACUUGAUGAUAUUUGUGAAGCAUGUCAACUUGGAAAGCAACACAAAAUUACUUUUCCUUCUCAAUCAUCGUGGAAAGCAAGAAGACCAUUGCAACUUAUUCACUCAGAUCUUUGUGGUCCAAUGACAAUUUCAUCUUUGGGAGGUAAUCGUUAUUUUAUCUCUUUCAUUGAUGAUUACUCAAGAAAGUUAUGGGUGUAUUGUGUAAAAGAAAAAUCAGAGGCUUUUCAGAGAUUCAAAGAUUUCAAGGCAGAAGUGGAGAACUUUACUGGGCUAAAAAUUAACACCUUACGGACAGAUCGUGGAGGUGAAUAUUUUUCAAAAGAAUUUGAGAAAUAUUGCCGAGAUAGUGGCAUCCGGCAUGAAAUGACAGUCCGCCAUACACCUCGGCAAAAUGGUGUGUGUGAAAGAAAGAAUAGAACAAUUAUGGAAAUGACUAGAUGUCUUCUUAGGAAGAAGAGGUUAUCAAGAAGAUUUUGGGCUGAAGCUGUUUCUUGUGCAGUUUAUCUUAUAAAUAGAUCACCGACAAGAAGCUUGGAGAAUUGCACACCACAUGAGGCGUGGUAUGGUAUAAAGCCUAGUGUUAGUCAUCUUAGAGUAUUUGGGAGUGUUGCAUACUCUCAUAUUCCAGAUGCAAUGAGAAGCAAGUUGGAUGACAAGUCAGAGAAAUGCAUUUUUAUUGGUUAUAGUGAAAGAAGUAAGGCAUACAAGUUGUACAAUCCGGUGACAAAGAAGAUUGUGAUAAGCCGAGAUGUUCGGUUUGAUGAAAAUUCCAUGUUUGAAGAUAUAGAAGUUGAAAAGGAAAAUUUGCCAAUUUUUCCUUUUGAACUUGAAGAAGAAGAAGAUGCAGUAAUUGAGAAUGCUGAAGAUGAUGCUCAAGUAGGAAAUCCUCCUGCUUCCUCAAGUUCUUCAUCAAAUUCUUCUUCAUCCAGCCCGAUCCGAAAAACGAGAAGCAUCCAAGAGUUAUAUGAUGUAACGGAUGAAGUUGUGCAAAAUGAUGUUGUAUUCUUUGCCUUCUUUGCAGGAGAAGAUCCAAUUUCUUUUGAUGAUGCAUAUCAAGAAGAAAUAUGGAGGAAAGCCAUGAAAGAAGAGAUUUGCUUAAUUGAAAACAAUGAUACAUGGGAACUCACAGAUUUACCGCCGCACAAGAAUUUAAUUGGAGUCAAAUGGGUGUACAAGACAAAGAUGAAUCCGAAUGGCUCUAUCAACAAGUACAAGGCAAGACUGGUUGCAAAAGGAUACAAACAAAAGGAAGGAGAAGAUUUUACAGAGGUAUUUGCUCCAGUUUCAAGACUUGAGACAGUUCGGUUACUUAUUUCUCUUGCUGCCCAAAACAAUUGGAAAAUGUUCCAAAUGGAUGUAAAAUCUGCGUUUUUGAAUGGUGUUCUCAAAGAAUAAGUCUAUGUUGAUCAACCACCAGGGUUUGUCAAAAAAUGAGAAGAAGAAAAAGUUUACAAGUUGAAGAAAGCUUUGUACGGGUUGAAGCAAUCACCCCGAGCUUGGUACAGCCGAAUCGAUUCUUAUUUUCAGAAGUGUGGAUUCCAGAAAUCUCCAUAUGAGCAUACUCUCUACAUCAAAGGCAAUUAUCAAGGAAGAUUCAUGGUUGUUAGUCUCUACGUUGAUGAUCUUAUUUUCACAGGAAAUGAUGUGAAGAUGUUGAAAGAAUUUCAGCACUCAAUGAUGGCAGAAUUUAAGAUGAUAGAUUUGGGAGAACUUCAUCAUUUUCUUGGUAUUGAAGUUCAUCAAUCUAAGAAAGGAAUUUUUAUUUCACAAGAGAGCUACGCAAAGGAAGUUCUAAAAAAGUUCAUGAUGGAAAAUGCGAAUCCAAUCUCUACUCCAUGCAUUACAAGUCUGAAGUUAUCUAAAGAGGGUGAAGGAAAGCUUGUCAAUUCCACCAUAUUCAGAAGUUUGGUUGGGAAGUUGAUGUAUCUGACUUCGACAAGGCCUGACAUCGUGUAUGCUGUUAGUUUGGUGAGUAGAUUCAUGGAGAAACCUUACUCCAAUCACUGGGAGGCUGCUAAGAGAAUAUUGAGAUAUGUGAAGGGAACCAUUGAUUAUGGAAUUUUCUAUAAAGCUAAUACUUAGUUGAUCUCAUUGGUUAUACGGAUAGUGAUUUAGCAGGAAGCAUUGAUGAUAGCAGAAGCACUUCUGGUUAUGUUUUUCACCUUGGGAGUGGUGCAGUUUCAUGGAGUUCAAAGAAACAAUCAAUUGUGGCGCUUUCGACUACAGAAGCUGAAUAUAUCGCUGCAUCUUAUGCAGGAUGUCAAUUGAUUUGGUUACGUGGAAUUUUGGAAAGUCUUAAGCAGAAGCAAAGCAAGUCAACAAUUUUGUUUUGUGACAAUAGUUCUACUAUUUCGGUCACAAAAGAUCCAGUUCUUCAUAGAAGGACAAAACACAUUCGCAUUCGAUAUCACUUCUUGAGGGAACUAGUGAAUAAUGGUGAUGUUCAAGUUGAAUAUUGCAAGACAGAAGAUCAGAUGGCUGAUAUCUUCACAAAGCCUCUAAGUGGACAAGUCUUCAAGAAAAAUGUUGAAAGGUUGGGAGUUCAAAGCAAGUUUAAUUUAAGGGAGGCAUUGUUGGCACAUAAUUAAAUUAACCUUGCACAAAUAAAUUAUGAAAAGUUAGAAGAGUGAAGAGACUUGAAUAUGAAUAGUGAAGAGACUUGAAGAUGAAAAGUUAAGAGGCUUGAAUAUGAAAGGAUACACACAUACAUGAAUAGUCACAACUCCUAGCAUAUAGUGAUAUAGAUGAAUAGUCACUUACAACUCCUAUAUAAAGAGUUGUAUGUGAUGAAGAAUAAUUAACUUGUGUGCUUGAAAUAAAAACUUAUUUGAAAGAAUUUUUCCAUACAAAAUUUAUUUCUCUUCUCCAUUAUAUUCUUUAUCAUUUUCUUUGUUUUAUUUCUCCAAAUAUUAAUUAUUCAACUACACCUCUAGCUGUUGUCAUUGAAAUAGCACUUUGUUCCUUGGAACACAAUUUAGCAAGGCCGAAAUCAGAGAUCUUAGGAUUGAAGUUGUGAUCAAGCAAAAUAUUGUGAGGUUUGAUGUCGAAAUGGAGGAUACGUUGCUCGCAACCUUGAUGCAGGUACUCGAUGCCUUUGGCUACACCGACAGCAAUAUCCUGAAGUUUUUCCCAACUAAGGGAUCAAUCCUUGCCCUUGGCUGCAAAUAUGAACUUCUCUAAUGACUCGUUUGGUAGGUAUUCAUAAACGAGAGCUCGGUCAUAUCCAUCGGCACAAAAGCCAACCAGGCGAGUCACAUUCACAUGGUGGAUUCUGCCCAUCGAACCCACCUCGUUGAAGAACUCUUCACCAUUUCCCUUGAAAUUAUUGAGUACCUUGACAGCAACUAAAACAUCACUGGAAAGUCUGCCUUUGAAGACAGUUCCAUAGCCUCCUUGUCCCAGUUUGUCCUUGAAAUGAUUAGUUAUCCUUUUAAUAUCAGCAUAGGAGUAUCUUGAGGGUUUAAACCCUUUAUAAUCUUCCAAAAACUUUUCAAUCUUGACUUGAAUUUCUUUCUCCUUUUUGUCUAACUGAUAUCUCCACCCAACUGCAAUGGCAAUGGUUGCAGCAAUUGAAGAACCCAACACAAUACCUGCAAAUCAGCAUACAUCCCUCUGUUAUAUCCCGUCUUAAAUUUUUGAAGCUAAAAGGGAAAUUCCAUUUACCUGCAAUCAUUAGCCUUUCUCCCAAACCUGCCAAGCAUUUAAAAUUAUUCAGCUUUGAUACAUGGGAAAUCUAAGAAAAGGGCUCACUGUAAGUUUACAACAUUAAGCUUCACGUUGAUGCAGGCUAAUGAAUUUUUUAACGUACGUUGUACAAUUAUAAUAGUUAAAACAUACCUAUAUGGUGCUUGGGGAUAUCAAAACACUCGGUUUGUUCCUUGGUGCUAUUAUUGUUGUUCAAUCUACAUCCCCUUCCUUGAGCUUCGCAAUCACCACAGUCUGGUUUAUACCAACGUAACUGAAAACGGAUACCAUAAGGAGAAAUGGGUGUUGAGAAGUUGCGAAAGUAGCUGCAAUUCAACAGGUUGAGUCCAUAAUAAUUUUCAUCAGAAGCAAAAGCUAUAAUUUGGGAGCCAGGGGUGCUUAAGCAAGCGACUCUAUAUCUUUUAUACAAAGCCUUCUCUUGGCUUAAACAUUCGAACAAGGUAUAGUUGGAUUCAGCUGGUUGGGAUCUAUAAUCUUUUAGGCCGCUGAAACCUGGUUGUUCCUCCGCGAAUGGAAAGGCAGAUAAAUUGAGAUCUAAAAGCUGCUGCCAGAGGCAACGGCCGGGAACGUAUAAGUCAAUCCGUUGAGCUUCAUAAUCUAUGUGCUUCACCAAUAGCUUCAGCGAACGUGGUAUCUUCAGCAGGGUCUGUUUGUUUUCUGAGCAGGAAAGCUGAAACCCAGGAUGAGGAUAGCCGCAGUGGGGAGACUGCUGGCCUUCUAAACGGAAGGGGAAACGGACAGGUGGAUCCUGGUGGUUGCACCGCCGCACCUUGCAGUCGUCUUGGAUUGGCACUGCUUCUGCAACAUUCACAGCUAAGAUAAAGCAGAAUAACGAGUAAAUUAACAUUGUUCUUACUAACUUGUGAGCCCCUAAAGUGAAACGGGCUUUAAAUAGUUUCAUUGACAUAGGUGGUUCAGCCCUUGAGAGUUCCAAUUAUGCACGCAACGCAGCUGCUGCUUUACUACAUAGCUUUGUCUCGUUUAACAGGGUCUUCAACUCUUCGUCCUCUCUUUGUCCUCUUUUAUGAGUAAAUGUUGGACAUGUUUGAUUGUUAGCAACCCUUUCUAACCUUGUUACUAAUUUUCUUUUAUUCCCGUUAGUUGUAGUAAAAUUUGAGGAAAAAACACUGAACAUGAGAAUGAAUACCGAUUUGCUGUUGUGAUCAUAGUGGGGUCAGCUUGACUGACUUUUGUUUUUCCACCUUCGUUUCACUACAUUUUGUUUGGUAUGACUAAGAAGUUGACUGACUUUUAUGGGUUCUUUUUAAUGUCUAUCGUUUCUUUUCUAAUGUAGGUGGAUUUUUUCUCACUUUCUUUUUUUCUAAUUUAUCUUUUAUUUUUAAAAAUGGCAAAACUCGAAUCAUAUGUUUUUAAAUUACUUAUACAAAUUUUUUUAAAAGUGGAUACAAGACAAUGAGAUGAUUUUUUCCACAUGAGUAUGAAACAAUUAUAGUCAUUGUUUGCUCUACUCACCCUAUCUCGAAAUAAUCUUUUACCUUUUUUUUUGUAUAUAAUUAUUAAAAUGAUAAAAAUGUAAUAAUAUGUUAUAGAAAAAAUUCAUAUGUUUUAUACUUAUAUUUUUUAAAAAUUAUGUUUAAAUAUUUACUUUUCUUAAAAAAAAGUAAAAUUAUUAAAAUAACUAAAAAUAAAAAUUAAAUUAAAGUAGAGCGAAGCAAGGUGAGAUGGGAUGGGGAUGGAUGCUUCUAAUAUCUAUGCGGUGAUAGUAAUUUUUCAGAUUAUACAUCCAACACAAGUAAAAAUUCAUAUGCAAGGAAUCAAAAUAUCAGUCCACUAAGCCAAUAAUUUAAUUACAACAUUAAGAUAAUUGAAAACGUAACGAUUACAAACUAAUUUUUUAAAUGUUGGUUGCUUAAAACGUAAGGAUCACAUGCACUAUAAACGUAAGGACCACCGUUGAAAGCCAUGCAAAAAUCUACAAUUUUAUAUUUAUAUGUGUAUAUAUACACAUAUACAUAUACACGUAAACACUAUAAAUCAUGCCAACCAUUAACAAAGCCAUGCAAAUAUUUAUAUUUAUAUAUUUCAUAUAUUUAUACAUUCACAUGCACAUAACUAAAUACGACAUCAUGCAAAUAUAGUUAUGUACAGAAUAUUGAUAUAUUAUCUCAUCAAUUUUAAAAAUAAACAACACCAAAAGACCAAGCUUUACACUACUCACACGACAUAACAUUGGUUUCACGAAUCCUCAAAGCACUACUCCCUCUGGGCUUUCUAUUAACAGCAACCUCCUUUGUCUUUAUUUGGUUGUGGCUUCUAUGCAGAUUAGACGAGAGGCUUCAAUGGAUGAUAUAAAAGAGGUGGUGUUGGUCAGUGUUGGGCAGAGGUGGCCUGAUGUCGGUGCAAGGAGAUCAACGGUUAGGGACGAGGGUGACUGUGGAGCGAUGAGAUGUUGGGGCGACGGAAGAACUCACGAUGGCGGUGAUAGGGCGGACAAUGGUGCAUUGAUGGAGAUGACUCCAAGGCAGCGUGAUGAAAGGGAGGGACGACUUGGGGCAGUUGGCUGACGGUGUGGCGACUAAGAGGAUCGGUGCUUAGUGAUGGAAUGAAGGAGAUAAUGCCUGACGUUGGGGAGUGAAAGGUGGUAAUCAGUCUUUUAUUAGGUUUGAUAGUAGGAAAGUUUGACCAAAUGUAUUCAUUCUUUAUUAGUCAUAACUCUGAAACCUAAUUGAUGAUGAUGAUAGAGCACACACACCUAAGCCACCACUCUCUCGACUAAUUCCAGUUUUUCCUUGCUUUUCAAAAGUAUUUUUAGAAAAUACUUUUAAAGUACUUUUAAAAAAUUUGAGUAUUUGGUAUUACUAACAUAAAGUGUUUUUGAAAAAUAAAAUAUUUAUUUUAGACAUGAUAUUAUAAAGUAAUAAAUAUGUAUUUAAAUAAUAUUCAAAUUAGUUAAUAUUAUGAUAUUUUAGCAAAAAAAUAAAAAAUAAUUUAUUAUAACUUAUUGUUAAUAUUUUAAUAUAUAAUAUUAAUUUUAAAUAUUUCUAAGUAAUUAAUAUUAAUUAUUUAUUAACUUUAAUUAGAAUAUAUAAACUAUAUUUAAAUAUUUAAAUAUAAUAAUUAAAUAAUUGUAAUUAGAUAUUGACACAACUGUAUUAUUAUAAAAAUUAUUUUUUAUUUUUAAUUAAUACUUUUUAACACAUUUGUAUUAUUUUAUUUUAAAAUGUAUUUGAAUAUAUAACUCAUAUUAGAUAUUAACAUAACAUAGAAAACAUAAACUUAAAAAAUUAAAAUAUUACAUAUAUUUGGAUUAAAGUUUUAAAAAGGGAUAAUAUUUAUAUACCAAAUAUAAAUACUAAAAAUCUUACAAUAGCAUUUACAAUUUAAAGUGAAUUCAUUAAACUAGAAGUUAUAGCAUCUCUUGUUAAUUCCAUUUCAAAACCACUUGAAUUGUUUGAUUCACUGUCAUCAUCACUAUCUUCGUCGUCGUCGUCAUCAUAUCACUUUAUCGACCAUGCGCAUUUUCUGAAUCAAUAAUAUUCUCAUAUGCCCAGUUAAUAUCUUCGUAUUCCAUAAAAUCUACAUCAUUUCGACCGAAAUGUUUUCAGAUAAAAUUGUGUAUCGUCAUUGUAGCAACAACGAUCAUGGUUUGCUUUCAAAAAUAUAACUUGGCAUAUCCCUUAAAAUGGCUCUUUUUUUCAAAACACCAAAAGUUCGUUCAAUUACACUACGUAAUGAUGAAUGUGAAUGAUUGAAUAUCUCUUCUAUACCAGAUAUCGGUCUACUUCUACAAAAGUCAAGUAAAUGAUAUCGCUGAUAUUUUGGUAGGGGUUUUGCUUAUGAUUGCGGCACUCUUUAAUAUGUACCAUUUGCAAUACAUUUAAGUAAAAAUAUUAUUAUAUAUAAAGUCCUAAGGCAGUCAUUAAGAAAACCCAUGUAGUUACUUCAAACAUGUGGUAUUAUUGAUUAUCAAAGUAAUGGCAUUAAAGGCAUGACUUCCCCACUCCACCGGUCCAGCUGCAACUGCAUUAAUGGAGUAAAAAAGACACAUACCUAGCUACAAAACUCAAUUAUGGCUUGUUUCCAAACCUUACCAAACCAUGAACUCAACAUGAUACUUCAAACAAUUGAAUCACCAAACUAAAAGAGAAAAAAAGAAUUUCAAAAACUAGAAUAAAUUGCUUGGAUGUUUAAGUUCAAACCUGGGAAUAUAUAUAUAUAGAAACGCAAAAGCUGAAGCAAAAAGAAAAGAAAAAAGCCAGUGUAACCUCCAGUAAGAAGCUCAAAAGAAUGGAAAUGCUAGCAUUAAUUACCAAUCAGAAUUAAUAUAUAGUAAAGUAAUUAAGUUGAAAAAAAGAACUUUGCAAAUGAAGAAGAGACAGAAAACAACACACAUAAAAAAUGGACAAAGACUGAUGAUGUUUGUAAACCAUCCAGAAAAUAGAAUAAGAAGAGAACAAAUCCAUCAACCACCUCUCUGAAAACUAUCCAUUUGCCAGCAGAGGAACAAAAAACCAGCACCAGCAGAGGAACAUAGAACGAGCGAUGAAAGAAGAGAUGAGAGCAAAGAACCACUGUUGUAUGUGUGGCUAAAAAAGUAAAAGACUAGCCCAAAAGUACUUUUUUGCUGAAAAAGCUAAAAAAUUCUACUUUUUCAUCUGCCCAAAAGCACUUCAAAUAAGUUCGAAAUUUGCUACCAAAUGAAGUCGGUUCUGCAUUGCUUUUUAGAUAAAAGCACUUUUCCUUUACUGAAUUGAAUUAAUGGAAAAAAACGACAAAGAGUGUAAUUUUUACUUUACUUUACUGAAAGUGAAUGGAUAAAUAUGGAAUUAGAGAAUAAAGAAAAUUGGGGAAAAAAGAAGAAGAAGAAGGAGAAGUGUUAUCAUGAUUAUGACCCUUGGAUAUUAUGGAAGAAGUGAAGAAAUAAUUGCAAUUGGAUAUUAAUUAUAAUGUUGGGAUUUUUAUUAAUGUUUUAAUUAUAUUAAUUGUUACAUGGCUGUGUGGCUCAAAUGGACGUGUGGAAGAGGUCAGUUUAUGUGGCUCCCGUACUUGUUUUGAUUUUCGAUUCUUGAUAAGUGUCAAAAGUAACAUAUUUUAAUUUCGUUCUUAAUACGUUUUUAGAUGAUUAAUCAAUGCAAAAUGGUGAAUUUUAUACUCAUAAUCCUUUAAAUUCAUAUUUCUAUACUUAUAAGAGCAUUUUGAGAAAAAAAUGAGUGAAAACGGAGCGAAAAUCAGACAAUUGGAGUAGAUUUCAGGAGCCACACGGGUUGGACACACGGUCAUGUGAGCCACACGAGCUGCCACACGAGCUGCCACACAGCCAUGUGCCAGACCGUGUGGAUUUCGCGUUUCACACUCCAAAUAUGUGGAAUCACGCAGUUUUUAGGUUUUUCGGGCAUUCUUAAACCUAUAUAUACCAAAUAUAAGGAGAGAAGUAAGAGCCGUCAGAGAAUAUUGAAGAAAACAACUCAGAAGACACCAUUGAAGCCAACUUUGAAACAGAUUUCCACUAAGAUUGAAGAUCUCCUUUUGAUUUAUUUGAAGUUUAUUAUGAGUUUCUUUAUUUUUUGUGGUUAUAUUGUCUUUGAGAUGUUUUUAUUCGCGAUUAUGAACUAAUUUUCUAAUACCUAGGGGAGAUGAACCUUAUAAUGAAUUUUGUCUUUUGAUUUCUGUUUUAUGCAAUGAAUAAUUGAAUCUUAUUCUUAGUUAUGUGUGCUUAAUUCUUGAUUUAAUAUUUUCUAAUUAUUAAUUCAUGUUUGAUGUGCUUAAUUCAAAGUAGAUCUAGCAUAAUUGAGUGGAGUUGCAUGUAAUCUUAGAAAUAGGACGACAUAAAUCUACCGAAUUAGGUAUUCAUAAACGAGAACUCAAUCAUAUCCAUCGGCACAAAACCCAACCAGGUGAGUCACAUUUACAUAGUGGAUUCUACCCAUCGAACUCACCUCAUUGAUGAACUCUUAAUAUUUAACUAAAGUUUGCUUUCUACUUUUUUUUUUAUUUCCAUUUUUAAGAAAAUGUUAUUUUAUUAAUUCAAUUAUCAAAAUUAAUAUUAUUUUAUUUAAAUUAGAUUAAUCCUCAUUUAAUUAUUACAAGUAUAUUAUUUUAGAAUUAUAAAAAUUAUUAUUUAAUAAAUUAAACAAAUAAACAUUUAAAAUCACAUACAUUACAUUAAAAACUAAUAUAUCUAAAUAUAUAUUUUACCACUUAUUUUAAUCUUGUUAUUUUUAAUUUCAUCAAAAUUAUAUAUCACUCGAGCCACUGCGACUGCUGACUGGCGAUUAUUGCCUGCAUAAUUUGAUGAAAGGUUCUGAAUUAAUACAUCCAAGACUUUUAUGAGCAUCGCCAUUGACUGACCGACGACUUGUAUGAAAGAAUUUUCCACAUUAGCUUUAUUAUGGACUGAUUUUUCAAAGAAAGACUUGCUCUCAGUUGCAGCCAUAAAAUAAAUGAAUGAUUGGCAUUUUACAUUAAAGAACAUCCCAUUGUUUAUUUCUUCAUCGGAGCUCCACCGGAACCUGAUGAUGUUAAGACCCAGACUUGUCUUGUUUAGCGUCUUUGCCCUUACUUUAUCUCUAUCCCCAGAUGUUUCCGAUGGUAGAGCAGGCAAAAGCAACCACUGCAACCCAUCUUUGUGUGGACACGUUAAUAUCAGUCACCCUUUCCGCCUAAAAGGUCAGCCUCGUGGAUGUGGUGACCGUAGGUUUGAAUUAGAGUGCAAGAGAAACCGCACCAGUUUUCCCACGAAAUACGGAAACUUUUAUGUCCUAAACAUCUCUUAUGUUUACGGAACGCUUCGACUUGUGGAUGUGAGUCUGGUCGAUGAAAACUGCUCAAUUCCUCGCAGUUCCAUUGUCUAUUCUCCAUACAGCUAUCAAGAAGACAUAAAUUAUGGAAGACACACCAUGUAUCUGGUAAAUUGCACGACAAGGAUGAAGUCUUCUUCAGUUUAUGUCGAUGCUUCUCGUUGCCCAACCAAUAGCUCUUCUUCUCCUUGGACCUACUUCUACUUUCCGGUCUCGUUUUCAAAUAUAUCCGAUUUCCAUCAUUCGUGCAGAUUUAUAGCCCAGUUUCCUGUCAUGCUUUCCAAUAUUAGUGGCUUAUCCCCUUCGUACAUUUACAAAAACCUGUUGGAAGGCGUCGACGUG
rnacentral:lncRNA from 1 species